CAAAGGCAGGGUGAUAGGAACAAAUCUCAACAUGUUUGUUCCUGACAUGAGCUGAAUGUAGGAAACUGUGAGGAACCAAGGAAGAAGAUGGUCAUCUAUGAAUCAGAAACUUGAGCAGCUGUUGUUACUAGCUUCAAUUUCCCUGAGAUCAGUUGUUCCAACCAUAAAAUAAACAUUUCUUCAUAUCAUCAUUCAUGAAAUAUUCCAUGUGCUGUAGAAAUGAGGCAAAGGAGACCCCUG